rnacentral:rRNA from 1 species
GACGAACGCUGGCGGCGUGCUUAACACAUGCAAGUCGAACGAAGCCCAUUCAGUAGCAAUACUGAGGAAGGUUUAGUGGCGAACGGGUGAGUAACACGUGAGAAACCUAUCCUGGUCUCUGGGAUAACAGUCGGAAACAACUGCUAAUACCGGAUGCCGUCGGAGCGCUGCAUGGCGCACUGACGAAAGGGUUACUGGAUCAGGAGGGUCUCGCGGCCUAUCAGCUUGUUGGUGGGGUAACGGCCUACCAAGGCAUCGACGGGUAGCUGGUCUGAGAGGAUGAUCAGCCACACUGGGACUGAGACACGGCCCAGACUCCUACGGGAGGCAG